rnacentral:rRNA from 1 species
UACGGAGGGGGCUAGCGUUGUUCGGAAUUACUGGGCGUAAAGAGCUCGUAGGUGGUUUGUCGCGUUGUUCGUGAAAUCUCACGGCUUAACUGUGAGCGUGCGGGCGAUACGGGCAGACUAGAGUACUGCAGGGGAGACUGGAAUUCCUGGUGUAGCGGUGGAAUGCGCAGAUAUCAGGAGGAACACCGGUGGCGAAGGCGGGUCUCUGGGCAGUAACUGACGCUGAGGAGCGAAAGCGUGGGAGCGAACAGG